CUUUUAUGGAGAGUUUGAUCCUGGCUCAGGAUGAACGCUGGCGGCGUGCCUAAUACAUGCAAGUCGAGCGAACAGA
rnacentral:rRNA from 1 species